UACGAAGGGUGCAAGCGUUAAUCGGAUUUACUGGGCGUAAAGGGCGCGUAGGCGGCGUGGUAAGUCAGCUGUGAAAUCUCCGAGCUUAACUCGGAACGGUCAGCUGAUACUGCUGUGCUAGAGUACAGAAAGGGCAAUCGGAAUUCUUGGUGUAGCGGUGAAAUGCGUAGAUAUCAAGAGGAACACCUGAGGCGAAGGCGGGUUGCUAGGCUGAUACUGACGCUGAGGCGCGAAAGCUAGGGGAGCAAACGGG
rnacentral:rRNA from 1 species